rnacentral:pre_miRNA from 1 species
CAAGUAUUUCUUCCGUCUGAUUUUACUUGUCAGAGAAAUGAAUGUAUAAAGACAUACUUUAGUUUUACAUACAUCCAUUUUUGUUAAUUUUGUAACAAGUAAUUUCGAACGGAGGGAAUAUAUU